rnacentral:rRNA from 1 species
CUGGUUGUCCUGCCGGACCCCACUGCUAUCGGGAUGGGACUAAGACAUGCUAGUCGAGCGCCUUCCAGCUAUGUGGGAGGAGCGGCGUACAGCUCAGUAACACGUGGCUAACCUGCCCUUGGGAUAGGGACACCCCCGGGAAACUGGGGCUAAUCCCCAAUAGGCGGAGAACUCUGGAAUGAGUCUCCACCCGAAAAGACGUUUAGAUCAUGCUUCUAGGCGUCGCCCAAGGAUGGGGCCGCGACCGAUCAGGUUGUUGGUGAGGUAAUGGCCCACCAAGCCUAUAACCGGUGCGGGCCGUGAGAGCGGGAGCCCGGAGAUGGGCACUGAGACAAGGGCCCAGGUCCUACGGGGCGCAGCAGUCGCGAAACCUUUGCAAUACACGCAAGUGUGACAGGGUCAUCCCGAGUGCCGACCGCUGAGGUUGGCUUUUACCCAGUCUAGAAAGCUGGGGGAAUAAGGAGAGGGCAAGUCUGGUGUCAGCCGCCGCGGUAAUACCAGCUCUCCGAGUGGUGUGGACGUUUAUUGGGCCUAAAGCAUCCGUAGCUGGCUGAACAAGUCCCCUGUUAAACCCACCGAUUUAAUCGUUGGUCUGCGGGGGAUACUGCUCGGCUAGGGGACGAGAGAGGCAGACGGUAUUCCCGGGGUAGGGGUGAAAUCCUAUAAUCCCGAGAAGACCACCAGUGGCGAAGGCUGUCUGCUAGAACGCGCCCGACGGUGAGGGAUGAAAGCUGGGGGAGCGAACCGGAUUAGAUACCCGGGUAGUCCCAGCUGUAAACGAUGCAGACUAGGUGUUUGGACGGCCACGUGCCGUUCUAGUGCCGCAGGGAAGCUGUUAAGUCUGCCGCCUGGGGAGUACGAUCGCAAGAUUGAAACUUAAAGGAAUUGGCGGGGGAGCACCACAAGGGGUGAAGCUUGCGGUUUAAUUGGAUUCAACGCCGGG